AUGAUAUUACGAAUUAUUUGUGAACUACUACGAACAAACUAGUAAAGAAUAUUAUAGUCAAAAAAAAAAUUAUCA
rnacentral:misc_RNA from 1 species